rnacentral:lncRNA from 1 species
GGCCCCGCCCGAUUGGCGAGUUGCCAGCUGCACGCAUGCUCAAACCAACUAGACCCAAGGCGGCGGCGUGAGGGUUUUCCCGCGCCUGGGUUAGGAGCUGGAACCCCUUGGCGCUGCCGCUGCAAAGGGUGUUUUUCUCUUUCUGCUUUUAACUGGAGAUUGUAGUCACUACAUUUAGAGUUAUCGCGGGGAAAAGAGGUGACAAAAAUAAUGACUAAAGCUGACUGACGACCUGUUGCUUUCUGCUUGGAAUCAUACACACUUAGAAGGGAACUUCGAGGUGUUACAAAGGUUCCAGGGUGCUUGUUAUUCAGAUAAAGUUGUGAUAGUUAAGCUCACUGCUCCUACUGUACUACUGAUGUCACUGAUCUUCUCUUCUGGGUGUUCAACCACCAAAGACCAACACUAAAAGGCAUACACCUGUCACGUGGACCUGUUUCUCCCGAUGUUCCUUUCUUCUGAGCAGACAAAAGGAGCGAGAAAGGAACAGCGGGAUUAGCAAGAAGCUCAAGAUGGACAACUGUUGGAGAGAGAAAAUUGCUGGUGUUGUAGUUUCCUUUGUCUAGUGCUACAUCAGAAGUUUGCCUCUACACACCCAGUCUAUUGGCUUAGCUCCAGGACUAUGCACUGUAAUCUCAUUCUUUCUGUUUUGCUGUUUUGGCCUAUCCCAUGAGAACUGAGCCUUUUGGAAAUACAGAACAGAGUAACCAUCCCACUUCUCUCCACUCUAAGCAAUCUAACCUAUAGAAGAAUAGGUGAGUGUAUUUGAC